rnacentral:rRNA from 1 species
AUGCAAGGACGAGAGGAAGUCGACGAGGAGGAUUGGGCUAAAUUCCGUUCAACCAUAGCAACAAGCAUGGACGAUGGAAGCAAGGUGAUCAUUAUCAGCCGGCUUAAAAGUUUGGAGCGACUUGGAACCGUUGAGCCAAUCUUCCUCAACAGCCUAUCGUACGAGGAGUUCAGCUACCUCUUCAAGACACUCGCGUUUGGGAGCGCGGACCCGGUGCAGCACCCGCGGCUAGCGCGGAUAGCAGACGAAUUUGCCAGAGAGUUGCGGUCGGAGUGGUCGCUCGUCGCCACAAAUAUCUUGGCGGACGUGAUGAGGAGGAACCUGAGCGUCCAUUUCUGGCUCUGUGUGCUGAGCAGGCUGAGAAGGCUAGUCGAGAGGAACUUCUCCAUGUUUGGGGAGCACCCGAAGGACCUCCUCCAGAGACGCCACCAGGUAGAUGUGACUGACUUUGUCUUGCAUCCUGGUGCUCCUCCACUUCGCGUCGUGCCUUCCCGUGCUCGUGGCAGCAGCGGCACUGAGGUUGCGGCGGAGAGGGAAGCACUGCCGAGGGUGAGGCUUGGGGAUCUGGUGAUGGAUCCCGGGCUUCGGCCACAAGGGGAUUUUAAUGUGGUUUCAUGGGAAUCAAGGAUGCCGCCUUACACUUCAUUUGUUCAUUUUGUUCCAAAUGGGGAUGGUGCUCCAGGUGUGGUGGAACAGAGUGCUCUUCUGUCUGGGAAGAAGCGUCCAGCAUUGUCUUUGUAA